GUGAUCAUCUGUAGCUAAGCACCAGGUUCUCUGUUUGCCGCAGUUACGUCUGACAAAGUGCUAAUGCUAUCUUCAGACAUGAACACGCUAGAGAGAGAGGACUUGGUCAUGGGCAGUUCUGUGCCACUUACCAGUUAAAAAAAGACCUUGGCUUCUUGGAUUCGUGUUCCUGAGGGCUGUAAGCAUCAGAUGGACGGAUGACAACCCUUAUCCCUCCUGUGCCCAGGCAGAGGGUCAGCAGUGCUGUGUGAAACAUUCCUGCCCGUUCCUCCACAGGCACGUGGUUGACCACAGGGGCACCACACCACUAAGUACAAUUCUGCUUUCCCUGUGCCACCCUUGGAUUUGGGGGUGCCAACUGGAACAUGGAUGACCCACCAGGAUCCACAUACUGUAGAGGGCUCAACCCUAAAUGGGAGCUCUGUGUCACGCCCUCUCCUUUCUAAGACUCAGUGAUCACUGAAAGAUUGUAAGAGCCAGAGCUAUUGGAAGACUACAAGGAACCAAGGAAGCAGUAUUUUCUGGACACAACAGGACAGCUGAACACAUGAAUUCACAGUAGUAGUGACACCAUGCAUAAGACUUGCAUGAGAACAAGCCAGGCAAGAUCCCAGCAUAAA